rnacentral:lncRNA from 1 species
UCUCGGUUUCACAGACCCGUUUAGCAGUGUCACAUCACUGGGUCAAUGUGCAAACCUUUUCGAUUGCGUUGGUGCAACCAGUUAAAAAUACCAACUGGCGACUCUUAAAGUCCAACCGUAGACAUUACACAUGUCGGACCUUUUUCACUUUUUUUUCAAACAAAUCUCACAUUAACAUGAGAACACCAAAGAGCAAGUAACAAAAAGGGACAAAUAAAAAUCCCGACGUCGACAUACAUCCAUUUACAUUCACAAUACCAGUUAAUUAUAACGUAAUUAGUCAUCACAAGUUCAUGCUUUUUGUUUAACUCGGAUUAUGACUAUACUUAGUCAAAUUACCACACUUAUUGACACAUAAUUUACACUUCAUGACCAAUAAGCUAACUAUGCAUUCAAUAAUUCAAUCCACACAGAAAUGUGUUAUUGACAUGUUAAGCAUCUAUUUUAAUGUCUCAUUAUACGUCUAACCUAUUUGAAUGUACAUUAGAUUAGGUUACUAUCACAUUCCUAGACUUGAAAAAUAAAAAUUUUCAUUUCUGGACAAUCUGCAGAGUGGUGUUGCGGUGCCAUUGUUAGGCUUGUUCUCGGCGCUGUGGCUUGGGCUUUGGCGCGGUGGCGCUGCGGCGCGGGACUUUAGGCAUGGAGUUGGCGCCGCGGCGCGGAACUCUAGUUUUUGAAUUUUCAGUUCGCGAAGAACAUAGAGUCAGACAAAAUUAUCAUUACAUGGUCAUUAAAUUAAACAUACCCACAUACUAGAAUUCAUACAUAAUCAUUUCCCAACCUUUAUAGAGUGAUUUUAACAAGUUUAAACACAUAAUUACUUGAAUCAAAUUAUAUAAUUUUACUGUUCUUGAUGUUCGUGAAAGUUUUGAAAAUAAAACAUGGAGAUUGGCACUACGGGUUCAUUAUAACACUAAAUCAGUCCAUUUGAAGUUUAUUUCUUUCGUUUUGACAUGUGAUAACAUAAUCUAACGUUAAAUUUCAAGUUAAACAACAAUUUGUAGCAUACAAAUUCCCAUAAGGGCCAUACAUAUGAAACUUAU